UAGGUGUCAUCUAUUGGUUCACUCAAAGUCGUGUAGGUAAGCUUUGUUAUAGACAGUUAAUUAGAUCAGAGUGUUUCUCCAGAAUUUGGGUGUCAUCUAUUGGUUCACCCACUCUUCAGAAAACGCGUCGACAAUCGGAUCUUUUCACCGACGCUGGGUUCUUACUUCGAUUCUGUAGCAGCCUCAGGCACCCAUUAAACUCUUCAAUCGAUCCACAAAUCCCAUCUUCUAAAUGCUUUGUUCUUGCCAUUGAUUGAACCAUUAGUUUUACUCACACCCAAAUUCUGAUUUCCAGAUUCAGUCGCAGAGAGAUGCUUUGAUUUGAUUUGUUUUUUUGGGAAUGGCAUGGCAUUCUCUAUUUCCUUCCUCAAAUCCUCUGCUCUCUUUCUUACCAUUCUCUCUAUUUUCAUCUUCUUCAUCCUCUUCACUCCCAAUCGCUCGCCGGAAUCCGCAUCCAGAAGGUCCCUCAUCGCCGCUGGCGAUUCCAAUUCCAGUGUUUCUUCGAUCCCAUCUUGUUCCUCUGCUGAAUCUCACUCUGAUGGCCUCGUUAACUACUUGUAUUUCCAUUUCUGCGUCUUUGAUCAAAACCCAUCUCUCUCUGUCCCUUUUCUCAUUCUCUUUCUUCUCCUCCACUUCUAUAUCCUCAUCAAAACUGCUCAAGAUCACUUCUCCAUUGUCACUUCCAAGCUCGCUUUUCACCUCAACUUGUCUCCGAGUAUGGCCGCCGUGACGCUCUUGGCUUUGGGCAAUGGCGCUCCUGAUGUGUUUGCAUCUGUUGCGGCGGUUCGUGGUGGCCAGUAUCGAACUGGGUUCGGUGCAAUUCUUUCUGCGGGCACGUUUGUUUCGGCUUUUGUGGUUGGAUUUGUUGCCAUUUAUGCUGCUCCGUUUUCGGUGAACCCGGCUCAGUUUGUGAGGGAUGUGCUGUUCUAUUUGACUGCAGCAUUGUUCUUGUUCUAUGUGUAUCUUAGUGCAGAGAUUUUCUUGUGGCAAGCUGUUGGGUUUGUUGGGUUCUAUCUGUUCUUUGUUGGAUUGGUGUUUUGGAUGGAUUUGAGAAUGGGAAGUGGGAAACCUAAGAGUGGGGCUGAUAUGGGAGUGAAUAGAGAAGCUGAGGUCUACCAUGGUGAGUUGCCUCAAGACUGUGAGAUCGGAGAAAGCUACAGAAAUGUGGAUGAAGGAAAAACUAAUUCUGGAUUUUGGGAAGCUCUUCGAAUGAUCCCAAAAGCAUGGGAAGCUCCUGUCUCGUUUCUUCUGAAACUCAUCAUUCCCCAACCUGCACCUUCCGAAUGGAGCAGAUUCUUUACAUCGGCGAAUAUUUCUCUCUGUCCCGUUGCUCUUCUAUAUGCCUGUAACUCAUUCAUGUCGUUUAACCAUCCCAUUGCUUUCCUCUUAUCGAAUAUGCAUUUACCUCUUUGGUUCGUAGUACUCUUUGCAAGCUCCUCUCUUGCAAUUCUGCACUUUGUUAUGGAAACUGAGCCCCCAAAAAUUGAGCAAGUCCCUGUUGUGCUUGCAGCAUUUGUCAUGAGUGUAUUUUGGAUUUCGACCACUGCCGGGGAGCUGCUGAACUGUCUUGCAGCUCUUGGGGUGCUUCUCAAACUCCCACCAGCUCUACUUGGGCUUACUGUGCUUGCCUGGGGAAAUUCAGUUGGGGAUCUUGUGGCCGAUGUUGCGCUUGCAAAAGCAGGCCAACCGUUGCUUGCUAUGGCUGGAUGCUUUGCAGGGCCAAUGUUUAACAUGCUUGUGGGGCUUGGAACAGCUUUAGUUAUACAAACAGCUAACAGUUAUCCAGAGGCCUAUCAGCUUCAAUUUCAUAUCGGAAUCGUCAUUGCAUUCGUAUUCCUACUUUUUAGCCUGAUGGGUUCCCUACUUGUAAUUAUUUGGUGCAGAUUUCGGGUGCCUCGAUUUUGGGGAUUCUGCCUUGUGCUGCUGUACAUUGUUUUCAUGGUUGCCAGUUUACUGAUGGCCAAGUUUUCUCCAUGAUUAAAUAUCCUUCUAAACUGAAGUAUAAGACCAAGAAACUCCAAUGUAAUGCCAGUGAAGCAGCGUUCGGACAGCAACCGAGAAUAGUAGUCGCUACUCGUCGGUUUAACUGGGCAGUCUAGACAUAAAGCCAUCUUAUUUCCCUCUCUGCUCAACAACCUGAAGGCACUUUUAAGUAGGCAAAUGUUGGCAUAGUUGUUGGCUUGGAAUCUGCCAUGAUAAUGGAGGGAAGCACUUUCACUAAGACAAAUUUUAAAGUUGUUGAAAAGAGAAGUGACAACGGAAGCUUCAUUUCAGAGUUGGGUUUGUGCUGAAAAUUGAAUCAGGAAGUUGAACUCACAGCUGAUGAAGAUUGUUCAUAUCUUUCUUGUUCAGAUGCAGCGAAGCGAUGUUUGAAAUUUGGUUAUUCAGUAAAAUUUAGGACUCCUUUGGUAACAUUGUUGUUUAUUAAUCUUCUGGUGCAUAUUUGUUUAUUUGUUUAUUUUCUCAAAAGAAACAAGUGUGGAAAAAAAAUAAUUCUGAGGUUUGAUAAUUAGUUGAGAACAAUGAAAAAUGCUUUUCAA